rnacentral:rRNA from 1 species
GUGGGGAAUAUUGGACAAUGGGCGCAAGCCUGAUCCAGCCAUGCCGCGUGUGUGAAGAAGGCCUUCGGGUUGUAAAGCACUUUUGUCCGGGAAGAAAUCUUCCAGGUUAAUACCCUGGGAGGCUGACGGUACCGGAAGAAUAAGCACCGGCUAACUUCGUGCCAGCAGCCGCGGUAAUACGAAGGGUGCAAGCGUUACUCGGAAUUACUGGGCGUAAAGCGUGCGUAGGUGGUUCGUUAAGUCUGCCGUGAAAGCCCCGGGCGCAACCUGGGAAUGGCGGUGGAUACUGGCGGGCUAGAGUGCGGUAGAGGGUGGUGGAAUUCCCGGUGUAGCAGUGAAAUGCGUAGAGAUCGGGAGGAACAUCUGUGGCGAAGGCGGCCACCUGGACCAGCACUGACACUGAGGCACGAAAGCGUGGGGAGCAAACAGGAUUAGAAACCCUAGUAGUCC